AAUUCCACAAUCCAAAUGCUGAUUUACUGUCUUCUAAAUGUCUCCUCCUCCUCCUCCUGUUCCUGUGUUCUCCCAGCUCCUGUAGCCACAGCGUCUGGUCCUAACUUCUCCCUGGCUGACCUGGAGAGUCCUGGCUACUACAACAUCAACCAGGUGGCUCUGGGGCGACGCUCCCUCGCAUCCCCCCCUUCCACCAGGUCUGAGGUCGAGCUGUACGCAAACCUUCCACGGAGCUCUAACAAGAGGAAGUCGUUAGACGACAGUGAGCUGGAGAGCCCCACGGACGGCGUCUUCUACCCCGGACGCUCCCCAGCCGCAGGCUCCUCCCAGUCCAGCGGCUGGCCCAACGACAUGGAUGCAGUGCAGCACCAUUUGGCCAGUGUGCAGGAGAGGAAGAUAAAACAUGAACAUGAUGGAGUGCAGUUUCCUUACCAUGGACUGUCCUCGCCUGGUUCUCUUAAGAAGCCGGGGAAGUUUGAUUUCAACGCCCUGUCGCCCCAGACGAGGUCCCCCCGCAUGACGUUCACACACCACCCGCUGCCCGUGCUGGCAGGAGUGAGACCAGGGAGUCCCCGUGCCUCAGCGUCAGCUCUCCACUUCCCCUCCUCCUCCAUCAUCCAGCAGUCCAGUCCCUACUUCACUCACCCCACCAUCCGCUACCACCACCACCAGGACCCGCUCAAGGAGUUUGUCCAAUUCGUCUGCGCCGACGGCUCGGGGCAGUCCGGGGGACAGCCUAACGGAGGUGGUCACAGCCAGAGCAAAAUGCCAGGCUCCUUCCUGCUGCCCCCGCCGCCCCCAGUGGCGCGCCCCGUGCCCCUCCCCAUGCCCGAUUCUAAACCAAUCAACACACCCCCGACGGCGGCGGACUCAGCUCGCCCGCAUCUCCGUCAUACUCCACGGCAGGCUCCACAGCUCCCAACAGGUUUGUCAGCAUCGGAGCACGGGACAACUUUCUGAACAUCCCCCAGCAGUCUCAGUCUUGGUUCCUCUGACAAGGCCUCCGACUCAACCGCUAGAAUUGUGUCAUGAGAAAAUUGGGAAUGGAAAAACAACACAACACACAAAACAAACCAACACUGACUACAAACAAACUGCUGACACUAAAGUAUUUUUGCUCAACAACCAACAACACAAAAACAGAAAAUAACCCCCCAGAAGAAUACCCAUUUCCACAAUUUGAACAUUUGAACCGGAACAACCAUCUCCCUAUACAGAAGGCUGAAAAGAGAUCGGUUGAAGUGGACAGACUCAGAACGAACGACAGAACGAGGAAGAAGAGGAGGAAGAAAGAUGAGGAAAUGUCACACACAAAACAUGUCAGAAAGCAAACAAAAAUAUGCAACCUGACAACUAACUGACCAAUUUCGUUUUAUUGUUGUUUUUAUAUUUUAUUUUCACAAUGAAACUCCAUGCAAUGGCUGGGAGAUCCACCCACACACAAUAGUGUAAAACACAUAGUUGGCAGAAUUUGGUCAUUUGAGCUAUAGCUAUAAACAUUGUCACCACCCAAAAGAACCCAUUCUGUAAUCCUUUAGUCUUUCCUCCUGACGGUGCUUUACGUCCCUGCUCCCUCUCUCAUCUGUCAACCAGGUGUCCAGGGUUGCCCCGGCAACGCCCACAGCCUCACACAACCACAUCCGACUGGCCUCACUGCCGCUUAAUGUACUCAGCCCUGAAUCCCCUCCCUCCACCCUUCUUCUGAUUGGCCAAACACUGGGACACCAUCCAAUGGUGUGAUACCAUCUGCACUAGAUGGCUGGUUUUAGCUUACCCUCUUGUGAAGAGCGAUAGCCAAUAGCAUGAGCCGAGAGCGAACACAAAACAGUCAGUCAGUCAGACAUAAGACAGUCAGACAUAACAGAGAGAAAGUCAGUCAGUCAGACAGACAUCACAGUCAGACAGACAGACAUAAGAGACAGACAGACAACAGACAGUCAGACAGACAGACAGACAGACAGACAGACAGACAGACAGACAGACAGACAUACAACACUAUGCCCUCUUUCGUCCCCUCACCUAUAUGCACUACUGAAACAAAUAAGGGAGGAAACAGAGCGAUCCAGCAGGUCGCUGAAGGCAGUGUGUGUGUGUGGGCAAUGGGCUGUGGCUCUGGCAUCCUGGCACUCACACAUACACGCACUCACGCAGACUCAAAGUACGUACACACACACACACACACACAGAUCAUUGUCUCCAGAACCCACACGUCUGGCAGACACAACUGAUUCACUGACAAUACCAUUUUGUCUGUGUGUCCUUCACAGUAACAUAAUACAUGCAUAGGAUCAACAUCAUCGUGUAAUAACUAGCUUUCUUUUUGUUUGUAGCCGUUUUCUUGCAUUUCAUUUUGUUUGCCGGAUUGGUUUUGGUUUUGUCCCACUUGGAUUCUUUUGCUUAUGUUUGACCUUCUUCCCUAAGAUCUUUUUCUUUCAUCCGCUUUUUAUUUUGCAGAAAAAAUAUCAUCUUCGUUUGCAAUAACAGGCAUCUCUGAAAUCUCUCACAAACACCAGUACAGGAACUUGCGACAACGCCUGCCCUGCUUCACCCUGUAACCACAGUCCAUUCACAGUAGCGCCCGGAGGAACACACGCUGACACACCACCGUAUCAAAAUGCACACUACUAACACCGUCACCCUGAUUCCAAACACAAAGGUGAGCCUUUAUAUACGAGUUUCUCCAAACUGCCUUUGAUAAUGGUUUUUCAUUCAUUUUGACAUUUGUCAUUUUUAAUUUGAGAUACCUUGUUUUUUUUCUAUUGUAAAUGUGAUUUAUUAAAUUGUUAUUGAUAUUGUAAUCUUUUUUUUUAUCAUGACACAAUAAUUCAACAACAAAAAAAGCCAAACCUCACAAAAUAACUGGACUGCCUAGCUGUUGGUUUCUUCCAUGUGCAGGGAUAGAAUUGUCUGACAGCCCAGGCACUCAGAGCUAAUUUUACUAUAAACUCAAUGUACUCAAAUCAUAUAUCACAACUAUAACAAUCUAUGGAAGUGCCUCUGUACUCCCCUAUCAUGCAAUUAGUUCAAAUUCAGGUUGAUGUUUUUGUUCACAUAUAUGCUAAAGCUACAAAGAAUGGUGAUGUUUCUUCCUAUAUGGAAACCAUUGGCUAUAGGACAGAAUCUUUAUAGAAGACUGCAAAAUGUUAUAAAGAGAGAGAGAGAGAUCUUAAACAUAUAUAUUUAUGGUAUAUGCUCCUUUUUAAACUUGACUAAAAUGAGCUUGUUGGCAGUUUAGUUAUUUUCUGAACUCUUGAGCUAGCAGAAUUCCAUGAUGGACAGCACCUCACUGUCACCAUGACAAUUCAAUGAGCACCCACCCACCCUCCACAAAUCUACAGUGCAGCGUUCAAAAAAUGAAACAAAAAUGUCCAUGAUGCAAAAUAGAUGAAACAUGUCAAAAUCGACAAUGGAAAAAUUGAAGAAAAAAGUGUUUGUUUUUUUGAUGGAAAGUAUUAUUAUUGAAAAAUAUGUGUGGAUUGAGCCACGUGCAAUGCAUUGGGUAGAUUCAUUGUGUUUUGUCUGUUAGAGAUUUUUAAGAAAGCUAAGAAGAAAAGAGAAAAAAAAUCUAUUUGUUUCAAGUCCGAUGUGCUCCUGGACUCUAAACUAACAGAGCCAUAUCCUAGUCUUUGUAAGUUGGGGGGUAUUUGUUUUUAUUUUCCUUUAGUGUCUCUUUUUUAAUGUUUAACGUGUACUCAUUUGUUUAUAAACAUGUUUGGAGGGGCUGAAGGAAGAAACAUUUCUUACAAAACGUUUAAAAACAAAUUGAACAUGGAAUGAAAAACCGGUGAAAUGAAAAACCGUCACUUUUACACACUAUAAAGUACAUUCAAACUAUUACAAAAUGAAUGAUAAUGAACAAAAUAAUGACUACCUUUAGGAAACCGCAUUUAUUACUCCUCUUCUCUAUUUCUAUUCCUUCUCCUGUUUGUAAUAUUGAGUGGAGGGAGGGGUUCCUAUUCCUUCCUAUAUUCCUCUAGUAGGUUGUGAAACAAAAGGCAUUUUGGUUCAACCUUUAGAUAGGACGAGAGCUGUACUGUAGGCUUAUCAAUGCCCACAACUACUUCUUCUGAUUUCUCCCAGACUAUUAUACUCCUCUCUCUGAGUCUGAGCAAGGGAAAAAAACAGGAAAAUGGCAGCUUAGAAUUUGUUUCAUUUGAGGAGCCAGCCAGUCUGUCAGAACCAUGACGUAACGAUAGAAAUACAGUAGGCCUAUGCAAAGUGAGCUUCCCUCCACCCCUUCCUUCUCCACCCUCUCCCUCAUUCCCCUGUAAAUUCACCUUGACUAGUGCUUGUGCUGUAGUGUAGUUUCCCAGCAGUUAAAGGUUGUCCCUUAAAAGUGCCUUUUGUUCACAGACUCCAUUUUGUAAUCCAGAUCGCUCCCCUUUCAUUCGAAAUAAUUCAAGGUAGAGGUGGAAGUGCCCCUAAGUGCAGAUCUAGGAUCAGUUUACUGUAUAUCCUGACCUGAACCAUUAGGAGGGGAUAUGCUAAACUGAUCUUAGAUCAGUGCUUAGUGAGCAACUUCAUCCGACCUCAACCUUUGAAAAAUGAUCCCCCUCCAUUGUAUCAACCUUCCCAUAAAUCCUUUCCCUUUCCAAAAUCCGUAUAUAUAUAUAGUACAAAAGGAAACUGGUGUGAAUUAGUUCUUUACUUUUUAUUGAUAAAUGAUGGGAAAAAAAAUACUGAAAAGGCAAAAAAAACUUGUUCUCGUUCCCCCUUGCUCUCUGGCUUUUUUCUUCUUCCCUCCGUCUCCUCCUCUCCUCUCCUCUGUCUAUCUGUUCUCUCGUAGACACCGGAGUAGUCUGUAACUGUGUCCUCUCUCUCUCCUUCCCCCUCCCUCCCUUCCUUCCUUCCGUUGAUGGAAGGGGUUGUUGAAAAAAAAAAUGCCCGAAACUUUUUGUCUUGAGCAGAAUGCAGUUAGCUCACGUUAUUCUUGUCUGUAUUGCCUCUUCUUCACAUUGUAUACCAUUACCCAUCCUCUUCAGCUUCUCCAUUCAAACAGCUAAUGUAAGUGAACAAAUUACACCAAUGGGCUUUUGGGGGUGCGCCUGCCCAGUGUAGGGUAGGACUGGGUGUUAGGGGUUAUGGGGGUAAAGGUCUUAGGGGGUCAAUAAUGUUGGGGUAAAGGAGAAAUUAUAGGGGUACCUUUUGGGUGUUGGGGGGGGGAGGCUGCUCUUCUGCUGUGACAAGUUGGGAGUUUUUAUUUUAUUUAUUUUGUUUUAUUUUAUUCCUUUAUUUUUAUUUUUGACUUAAUUUGGAUUUUUGCUUUCAUAGUUCCUAACUAUCAGGGUAUGCCGUCAUUGAAACUCUAUAAGAGAGUCUUGGACUGUAAAUGAAAUGCUACAAGCACCUUAUAACUACUGGCUGAGAAAAGGGGGUUUGCAAUACUACCAGCACACACACACACACCUAGUCAUGUAUCAAAUACUCUAAACUCUUGUAUUAUUAUUGUGAGGUUUUAUCUAGUGAAGCCAGGAGCAGUAUUAGCCAUUGGCAAAACACACACCACAACCCACCAUAUAGAGCCAGCAUGAACCAGGCUUGAGGCAUACUCUCAAGUGAAACGUAGAGAUAUCAGUUUGAAUGCCAGGCUCUAAAAACUCUGUUCCAUUUUUGAGAUUAUUUUUAUUUUUUUAUUUUUUUUGUGGUGUCUAGACAGUACGCCCUUUGACCCGUGACCCUACGCCCUCAGAGCAGAAGAGCCCCACUCAAGCCUGUAGCUCUGUCUGAAAUCGCACCCUAUUCCCUACAUAGUGCACUACUUUUUCACUAUUCCCAUAGGGCCCUGUUCAAAAGUAGUGCACUAUGUAGGGAAUAGGGUACCAUUUUAAAUGCAUCCCAUGUCUUUGUGUAUAAGAAACACCCCCAGAGCUCUAUAGGUGAAAUGCAUGUGUUAAUUACAGUUUCUUUUCCAUAAGAAGAAAAACACAGUUUGAGCAGAGCAGCACCUUGAUUGAAUAAAAGGAUGUUCUUGACUGUA